GGCAGGGGCUGGUCCUGCCGGGAACCCAAGCGGGCAGAUCUGAGCACAAUGUCUGGCUCGCCCCUGUCCGCCGUGUGCUCGUGGAAGGCUGCCCGCGACGCCCCCCACCUUCGGGGUGAGCGCGAGGCGCGGCCAUUUGCCGCCGGUCCCCCACAAUCCCCUCAGAGCCAGGAGGUGCGGGCGGGCUAGGGCCAGAGGGGCUGUUCGUAAAGCAGAUAACACCGGCCCCGCCUCGGCGCUCCCAGUGAGCCUCUGCCGUGCCCUCUUCUCCCAAAAGUCCUAAAAUCCGGCCAUGGAGGCUGAGGUGAAGGCGGUCCUUUCAGGAAGCGUUUCCCAGAGGGGGCAGCCAGGGAGUCCCUGCCGGCGGCCGUGGGACUGCCGCGGGGGCGGACCGGAGGGUGUAGCGCUGCACAGAGGGGCUCGUCAGUGCGAUUUUCGCAAGGCAGCAGGGUUUGUGAGGAGGACGUUGACAUGGGUCUGUCUUUUUUGCCACUAAGAUGGGAAGUGCGCAUUUUCCCCUUGGGAAUUUGGCUGUCGGUGGCCGACUGGACAUUUACUCAUGAAAGGAAAGAGAACAGAGCCAGCAGUCACGUAUAUCUGCUGAUAUCCUUGAGGAACCCUUGACUGCGGCUGGAACUCGGAUCUGCUGCUGAUGUAUAAAAUGUGGUUUUGUUCUUUACAACGGUGCCUAAAGGAAUUCUUUUAAACAGUGUGCAAAAUCAACGUAAAAAAUAUAUAUAUAAAAAAGAAUCAUGUACUUAUAAUUUCACGAUUUAAGUUGCAAAACUGCCUGGCAACUCUAUGUGUGAUUAAAAUCUCCUUACGGUUUAAAGAUUCCCAACGCAACGUACUUAGGGCCGGGUUUUGCAGCUCUGACGUCAGUACAUGUGUUAGCUCUAGCUUCUGUGGGAGCAAGAUGUUCCGUUUCCUCAUAGGUUUAGUUAAGAAAAUCUAGGACUAGGUGUUCAGCAUCAGUAGUUUGACAUUCCUCCUCUGAUCUUGCUGGAUGUGCUGAUUUACGUGAGCUGAUCAACCAGACCUAAGUUUUAAACCCAAACUGUUCACAUUGAAAGAUAGACGCUGCUAAACCAUUAAAUACUGCUUACAUAGCAUUCUUAAAAGUAAACACACAAAUAUUUCCAGUGUUGUAAUGACCAAAUUCUCACUACUUCCUCUGAUUUUUCACUUCUCUCUGAAAUGCUGAUAUUAUUCUUAUGCACAAGGUUUCCUUUCUUUUUCUUUGCCUACUACAAAACAUACUAACAUUGGAGAUUUUCCAAUGACCUAAAUGACCUAAAGUAGAUGACCUACAUUUAGGGGAAAAGAAGGUUAAAGGCUGAAAAACAAGUUGUUUGGGUUUGUUUUUUUUCCUGGAAGAUACUUUGGAGAGCAAUGAUUGGCCACAAGGCCUGCUGUAGGGAAGAGUUGGGCUUUGUUUCAACCAGAGGCAAAGGGCCUUGUAACUGAAGCAAGAAUGUCCCACUUCCACUGCUUGUGUCCCAAGGUACUUAACAUGAAUGUCACACAGGAACAGUUGUCAAUAAAAACAGUACCUUUGUCAUGGUCAUUAAAAGGUGGAACUGAGCUCCCAGGGAAAAUCCAGGUCCUGAGGCUUAAGUCACUCACAAAGCUCCAUAGGAGUCCUGCAGAUUUUGUGUUACACUAGAGCAGGCUCUACUUUGUUUCAUGAAGAAACAGUUCUGAAGUUAUUUAUGGUCAGCAUCAGUGUGGGCUUAUGCUAGCAAAUAAAUGACCUCUAUUAACAUUAA